AGAGUUUGAUCCUGGCUCAGAACGAACGCUGGCGGAGUGCUUAAUACAUGCAAGUCGUGCGAGAAAGUAGCCUUCGGGCUGCGAGUAGAGCGGCGAACGGGUGAGUAACACGUAAGCAACCUACCUCUAAAUUUGGAAUAACCUUGCUAACGCGGGGCUAAUACCGGAUGUGAUCAUGAUUACUCAUGUUGUCAUGAUUAAAGGUGACCUCUAUUUAUAAGUCACUGUUUAGAGAUGGGCUUGCGGCCCAUUAGCUAGUUGGUGAGGUAACGGCCCACCAAGGCUUCGAUGGGUAGCCGACCUGAGAGGGUGUACGGCCACAUUGGGACUGAGAUACGGCCCAGACUCCUACGGGAGGCAGCAGUAGGGAAUUUUGCGCAAUGGACGAAAGUCUGACGCAACAACUCCGCGUGAGGGAUGAAUGCCUUCGGGUUGUAAACCUCUGUUGAGUGGGAAGAAAGUGUUUUGUAGUAACAUAAUAAAACAUUGACGGUACCAUUCGAGGAAGCUCCGGCUAACUACGUGCCAGCAGCCGCGGUAAUACGUAGGGAGCAAGCGUUGUUCGGAAUCACUGGGCGUAAAGGGAGCGUAGGUGGAAAGGUAAGUUAGAAGUGAAAUACAGCGGCUUAACCGUUGACUUGCUUUUAAUACUGCUUUUCUUGAGUAUGGGAGAGGAAGAUGGAAUUCCCGGUGUAGCGGUGGAAUGCGUAGAUAUCGGGAAGAACACCAGUUGCGAAGGCGGUCUUCUGGCCCAAUACUGACACUGAGGCUCGAAAGCUAGGGGAGCGAACAGGAUUAGAUACCCUGGUAGUCCUAGCCGUAAACGAUGGACACUAGAUGCUGGAGCUGUCAUGGCUUCAGUGUCGUAGCUAACGCGUUAAGUGUCCCGCCUGGGGAGUACGCUCGCAAGGGUGAAACUCAAAGGAAUUGACGGGGGCCCGCACAAGCGGUGGAGCAUGUGCUUUAAUUCGAUGCAACGCGAAGAACCUUACCUGGUCUUGACAUGAGAAUGAAAGCCUUUAGAGAUAGAGGCCCUUCCGCAAGGAACAUUCUACACAGGUGCUGCAUGGCUGUCGUCAGCUCGUGUCGUGAGAUGUUGGGUUAAGUCCCGCAACGAGCGGAACCCCUGUCCUUAGUUGCCAUCAGGUAAUGCUGGGAACUCUAAGGAGACUGCCUGGUUUAACCAGGAGGAAGGUGGGGAUGACGUCAAGUCCUCAUGGCUCUUACGACCAGGGCCAGACACGUGCUACAAUGGCUGGUACAACGGGAUGCAAACUCGUGAGUGUAAGCUAAUCCCUUAAAACCAGUCUCAGUUCGGAUUGGAGUCUGCAAUUCGACUCUAUGAAGUUGGAAUCGCUAGUAAUCGCGGAUCAGCAUGCCGCGGUGAAUACGUUCCCGGGCCUUGUACACACCGCCCGUCAAGCCAUGAAAGAUGGUAGUACCCCAAGCCGUUUAUCUAACCGUAAGGAGGAAAACGUCUAAGGUAAGAUCAUUGAUUGGGGCUAAGUCGUAACAAGGUA
rnacentral:rRNA from 1 species